GGAAAGGCGCGCGAUACAGGGUGACAGCCCCGUACACAAAAAUGCACAUGCUGUGAGCUCGAUGAGUAGGGCGGGACACGUGGUAUCCUGUCUGAAUAUGGGGGGACCAUCCUCCAAGGCUAAAUACUCCUGACUGACCGAUAGUGAACCAGUACCGUGAGGGAAAGGCGAAAAGAACCCCGGCGAGGGGAGUGAAAAAGAACCUGAAACCGUGUACGUACAAGCAGUGGGAGCACGCUUAGGCGUGUGACUGCGUACCUUUUGUAUAAUGGGUCAGCGACUUAUAUUCUGUAGCAAGGUUAACCGAAUAGGGGAGCCGAAGGGAAACCGAGUCUUAACUGGGCGUUAAGUUGCAGGGUAUAGACCCGAAACCCGGUGAUCUAGCCAUGGGCAGGUUGAAGGUUGGGUAACACUAACUGGAGGACCGAACCGACUAAUGUUGAAAAAUUAGCGGAUGACUUGUGGCUGGGGGUGAAAGGCCAAUCAAACCGGGAGAUAGCUGGUUCU
rnacentral:rRNA from 1 species